CUCUUUCCUGAGAAAAUACAGACAAAACAGGCGGUGCAGUCAGGAUUUUCCUGUGAAGGGGAGGGGGUACACAGAUAGAUUGGGCUGCAAAGGAGGGUAGAAAAGUGUGGAAAGGAAGUUUUGUCUACAGGUAGCAUGUCUACGUACGGUUUCGUCCUUCACUGAUCUACCCUCCCGAACAAACACCGGGAUUCUCAGAGUGCGAUAAAAGAACAGUGAGCAAACUAAAAA